rnacentral:rRNA from 1 species
UACGAAGGGUGCAAACGUUGCUCGGAAUUAUUGGGCGUAAAGCGCGCGUAGGCGGCUUGGCAAGUCGGAUGUGAAAUCCCUCGGCUCAACCAAGGAAGUGCAUCCGAAACUGCCGAGCUUGAGUACUUAAGAGGAUCGCGGAAUUCCCGGUGUAGAGGUGAAAUUCGUAGAUAUCGGGGAGGAACACCAGUGGCGAAGGCGGCGAUCUGGGAAGAUACUGACGCUGAGGUGCGAAAGCGUGGGGAGCAAACAGG